AUACUCUACUUUCUCUUCAAAAUCGUGUAAAUCUUUCACCUUUAACUAAAGAUUUCUGUGGAGAGGAACAAUUCUGAGUCUUAAUCCGAUUUUUUGAGGUCCUGUUCUGUGGGCU
rnacentral:snRNA from 1 species